rnacentral:lncRNA from 10 species
AGCAGCACUCAGCUAAAAGGAAGACUCACAGAACACAGUUGAAGAAGGAAAGUGGCGAUGGACCUCAUCCCAAAUUUGGCGGUGGAAACCUGGCUUCUCCUGGCUGUCAGCCUGGUGCUCCUCUAUCUAUAUGGGACCCGUACACAUGGACUUUUUAAGAGACUGGGAAUUCCAGGGCCCACACCUCUGCCUUUGUUGGGAAAUGUUUUGUCCUAUCGUCAGGUGAUCAUUCACGGGGUUAGGAGACUUUAGAGAGAAUAAAAGAAAAAGCAAAAAUACAUCAGAAAGACAAGGAAUUACUUACUGGUCAUAGACAAGGGUGAGUCCUUCAGUACUUAGAGAAAAUUCAAGAGUGACUUUAAAUUCCCCACUUCAAAUAUAUUCUCUGUUUUCUUGUCUUUCCCUUAAGACAUCUCUGAAUAGCUUCCUUCAACUGCCAGUGAAAGAUAGCAGGCCUGAUUUCAUUGGACGCAACUGUUUUCAGCCCCAAUUAGAGGUAGGGUUUAUUCUAUUUAAAAUAAUAAUCAACUUGUAUUUUGUUUCCUCUCCCAGGGUCUCUGGAAAUUUGACACAGAGUGCUAUAAAAAGUAUGGAAAAAUGUGGGGAACGUAUGAAGGUCAACUCCCUGUGCUGGCCAUCACAGAUCCCGACGUGAUCAGAACAGUGCUAGUGAAAGAAUGUUAUUCUGUCUUCACA